AUGAUCUCAGUAAAGGUCUUGUGCCAACCGGAAGUUGAUCAUGCCUCAAUGCUGACUCUUGCACUAACAGAAGCAGGGGGAACGCUCUCUUUGUAUUCAUCUGACUGGUCAUCAAAAAGUUCCCAACUAUUAAAAGAAACAACUCUUACAGUUUUUCCUUCCGUUUCAAUUUGCAGCAGGCUCAUUAUUUCUGAUUUUAUGUUCUGA